GCCUGGCUGGCUCAGUCAGUGAAGCAUGUGACUCUUGAUCUCAGGAUUGUGGGCUCCAGCCCCAUGUUGGGUG
rnacentral:tRNA from 1 species